AACCAGCACCUCAAGUGGUCAGGAUGAUUAUUGGGCCUAAAGCAUCCGUAGCCUGUUCUAUAAGUUUCCGGUUAAAUCCAUAUGCUCAACAUAUGGGCCGCCGGAAAUACUGCAGAACUAGGGAGUGGGAGAGGUAGACGGUACUCGGUAGGAAGAGGUAAAAUUCUUUGAUCUAUUGAUGACCACCUGUGGCGAAGGCGGUCUACCAGAACACGUUCGACGGUGAGGGAUGAAAGCUGGGGGAGCAAACCGG
rnacentral:rRNA from 1 species